UAAGAAAAGUAGUAGGCAGCAAAGGGC
rnacentral:piRNA from 1 species